rnacentral:rRNA from 1 species
GACGAACGCUGGCGGCGUGCUUAACACAUGCAAGUCGAACGGAAAGGCCUGCUUUCCCUUGUGGAUUGCGGGUACUCGAGUGGCGAACGGGUGAGUAACACGUGAGUGAUCUGCCCCCAACUUGGGUAUAAGCCUGGGAAACUGGGUCUAAUUCCCGAUAGGACUGCAGGGUGGUGCCUGUGGUGGAAAACGAUUUUCUAGUGGUUGGGGAUGAGCUCGCGGCCUAUCAGCUUGUUGGUGGGGUAAUGGCCUACCAAGGCGGCGACGGGUAGCCGGCCUGAGAGGGUGGACGGCCACAUUGGGACUGAGCUACGGCCCAGACUCCUACGGGAGGCAGCAGUGGGGAAUAUUGCACAAUGGGCGGAAGCCUGAUGCAGCGACGCCGCGUGGGGGAUGACGGCCUUCGGGUUGUAAACUCCUUUCGACCGCGAGGAAGCCACCUGGUUGGAAGGGUGGUGACGGUAGUGGGAGAAGAAGCACCGGCUAACUACGUG